rnacentral:rRNA from 1 species
GUGCCAGCCGCCGCGGUAAUACGUAGGGUCCGAGCGUUGUCCGGAGUUACUGGGCGUAAAGCGCGCGCAGGUGGUUCCCUAAGCCCGGCGUGAAAGCCCCCGGCUCAACCGGGGAGGGUCGUCGGGGACUGGAGAACUUGAGGGCGGCAGGGGCUGGUGGAAUCCCCGGUGUAGUGGUGAAAUGCGUAGAGAUCGGGGGGAACACCCGUGGCGAAGGCGGCCAGCUGGGCCGACCCUGACACUGAGGCGCGAAGGCGUGGGGAGCGAACGGGAUUAGAUACCCUUGUAGUCC